rnacentral:ncRNA from 1 species
GAACAAGUAAUGAUGAGGACAAGGGUAUUCUAUUUACGGUUUACAGAGAGGAAAGUCAUGGCUGCAAGCUUUCUAACACGACUAGAUUACUUACCACCUCUGAACUUCAACUGCGAACUUUAGUAGUAGUUGGCGGAUACGUUCCGUUAUCAAUCACUAAGUCAUAUCUUAUGCAAGAUAUGAAAAUUAGGGUGGAACCACGUGUAUUCAACUCGUCCCUUUC